rnacentral:rRNA from 1 species
GACAGAGGGUGCAAACGUUGCUCGGAAUUACUGGGCGUAAAGGGCGCGUAGGCGGUCUUGCAAGUCCUGUGUGAAAUCCCUCGGCUCAACCCGGGAACUGCGUCCGAUACUGGCAGGCUUGAAUCCGGGAGAGGGAUGCGGAAUUCCAGGUGUAGCGGUGAAAUGCGUAGAUAUCUGGAGGAACACCGGUGGCGAAGGCGGCAUCCUGGACCGGCAUUGACGCUGAGGCGCGAAAGCCAGGGGAGCAAACGGG